rnacentral:rRNA from 1 species
AGAGUUUGAUCCUGGCUCAGAUUGAACGCUGGCGGCAGGCCUAACACAUGCAAGUCGAGCGGAUGAAGGGAGCUUGCUCCCUGAUUUAGCGGCGGACGGGUGAGUAAUGCCUAGGAAUCUGCCUGGUAGUGGGGGAUAACGUUCCGAAAGGAACGCUAAUACCGCAUACGUCCUACGGGAGAAAGCAGGGGACCUUCGGGCCUUGCGCUAUCAGAUGAGCCUAGGUCGGAUUAGCUAGUUGGUGAGGUAAUGGCUCACCAAGGCGACGAUCCGUAACUGGUCUGAGAGGAUGAUCAGUCACACUGGAACUGAGACACGGUCCAGACUCCUACGGGAGGCAGCAGUGGGGAAUAUUGGACAAUGGGCGAAAGCCUGAUCCAGCCAUGCCGCGUGUGUGAAGAAGGUCUUCGGAUUGUAAAGCACUUUAAGUUGGGAGGAAGGGCAGUAAGCUAAUACCUUGCUGUUUUGACGUUACCGACAGAAUAAGCACCGGCUAACUUCGUGCCAGCAGCCGCGGUAAUACGAAGGGUGCAAGCGUUAAUCGGAAUUACUGGGCGUAAAGCGCGCGUAGGUGGUUCGUUAAGUUGGAUGUGAAAGCCCCGGGCUCAACCUGGGAACUGCAUCCAAAACUGGCGAGCUAGAGUACGGUAGAGGGUGGUGGAAUUUCCUGUAGCGGUGAAAUGCGUAGAUAUAGGAAGGAACACCAGUGGCGAAGGCGACCACCUGGACUGAUACUGACACUGAGGUGCGAAAGCGUGGGGAGCAAACAGGAUUAGAUACCCUAGUAGUCC